UAACACUUGGAAAUAUUUUUUUCAGGGAUUCAGCUGCCACGAAAGCAACACCUUAUGAAUGUAGCAGAGGAAUUAGUUGAUGACUGGUUUCUAGCUGGUGAGUAUAAUUGAUUUCUGUCAAUUUUACCUUCCCUGAGCUAUUUUGUUUGUCGGAAUUACUGGGAAAUUCUUCCAUUUAUAAUUUCCCAUUGAAAGGUUAGCUGUCAACUAAUUUUAUCGAAAAUAUUACGGAAAUUUCAUAACAUAUUCCUCGAUGUUAGUAUAAUUGGUUAAAUGGAUAAAGUAGAAGACACAAUGGAAAUAAUAUUCUUUUGAAACAGGGAACUAAAAUAUUUCGUUGUGUAGGAUGAAACAGGUGAGUUAAUGACAAAGAUUUUGAUGUUUUUAUGUUUUUGCUAAAUUUAAUGUUGUUUAACCAAAUGUCUGUCGCAAUCCGAUAGAUUUGUAAAAUGCUUUCCACAUGUGACAAUCCCGAUAUGUUCCUGGCAGAAUGUAAUCAAAUAUGCCUUUUAAAACAUGAUAGCUUGUCCUUUUAAUACAAUUUAGCUGUUAUACCUACCGGUUGAAGCAUCCACAUGCCUCAUUGGGUCAUUGUUCACUCCCAGGUGUGACAGGAUUGUGGUGGGCUUGAUCUGUACUUAUUUUAAGCAUUUGUAAUCCAUGUUCCACACAUAAUUUGUUUUAGGUUGAUAGACAAGUGUUACUUCUAGAUUGUUUAUUGUACUGUCUUCAGAAAAAAAUAUCAAGUAUUAUUUUGGAGUUCUAAAUAAGUUUUUAUUAACCUCUCGGAGACUUACUGACACCCUACUCUAUUUUACCAUCCCUUUUCAAACUCAACUUUUCCCUGUCAUCUCAGUAUUAGAUCCCCUAUAACAUGUGAUGUGUACCAAAGUGUAUUAUAUGUUGCGCUUUGUGUCAUUGAGGUCAAUCGGGUAUUUUGUCUAUUUGUAUUUUAAUUAUCUGAGGUGUACCUAAUAUGACUGAUAUUGUUUGAUAUACUAGUCCCCACUUUCUACAUAUUUCUAAAUUUUGAAACUUUAUAAUUAUUAAUUAGCCAGAGGAGAUCAGUUAGUGUGACUGCUUCUUCUCUCUGAUGGUCGUUCAGGCUCUCAUACACUUUGGCCUACACAAACCCUUCUACCAUUUGUUUACCAUAAAUUUUCUCAAUUAUUAAUUUUCAAAUUUAUUUUUAAUUUCUUUUCCAUCGUCAUCCUUUAUUAUUCAUUUAUUCCAGCUUCUCCGAUAUUCUUCUCAACAUCCUUAGAAAUAGACAACAAUGUCGAAUAUGAAUCCUAAUUAUUUUUACUUCUCCACUGAUGUCGUUUCUUUAGUAAAUUUAUAACAACCUUCAGUACUCAUCGUUUAUAUUAUUGUUAAUGUUGUUGCAGUCAUUUCUUGUUGUUUCUUUUGCAGGUAUUUUGUUAGAAAUAAAAUCUACCAAGCUGUAUAUUCUCAACCGUAACAUUCGUAAUGACGUUGUAAAACGGAACUAUGAGAUGUUGUGUGAAUGGUUUAUGACUUGUGAUCCAAAGAGAUGUACAUUCGAUACAUUGAAAGACGUCCUUAAAGAGAUAGACUGUUAUGGUGCGCUUGAAUGUCUACCACGAGGCGUAAUAAAGUGAAUUUUUGUGUAAAUCUUGCUGCUUGACCACACAAAGACUUAUGAUGAAAUGCAUUCCAGUCAGGACCCUCUUCUCUUUAUUCUACAUAUAGAAAAACCAAGUACAACAUUGUCCAACAUGUCCUACUUUAAGGUGACGAUGUAUGAAUUUAGGAUUUGGCUGCUAAUUUUAGUAAAUCCACUUUACCACAUACAAUAUCCCUUGCUGGUUUGACUCCACUGUUGUUAGAGAUUAGCAUUUGAAAUAAAGAUAAAC
rnacentral:lncRNA from 1 species